CAAAUGGAACGCAUAGACAAUACAAAAGAAACAAUUAAUAUCACUCCAUUACUUCACUUACUUUUCGCGUUCUCCGUGAUUGUUUUUCAAGGUCACAUUCGGUAAACUUCGACAGAAAAACCAUUAAUGUGAAUAACAGACAAAGUUUUCGUUCAACAACCAAUAAUAAAUGAUACCAUUAUAAUGGUUAUGUUUCAUGGCCUCAAGUUCUGCUGUUCUUGCUGUUGUUGCCACUGUUGGUGUUAUAUCAGCAGUUCUAGUAUUAUUGUUGUGUUGUCUCAAGACCCUGUGUAAACAUAGACUUUCAAGAAUGAAUAGUAUACUUACAGAAUUGAAUUCCGUACAGUAUGAAGACACGGCUCGACAGAACACUGCACAAAAUGAAGGGACAUUGCCACCAACAUAUUCCAACCUUUCACUAAUACAACUACCUCCGUCGUAUAGUCAAGCUUGUAUUGUAGCAGAUAGACAAUCACUGGAUAGCAGUAUAGACAUUGAUAGGAAAUCAUUAGGAAGUAUUUCAGAAGAAGAAACAGUAGUAUAAUAAAAUUUGAAUAAUACGAAGUAAAUAGUAAAUGGUCACUACUUGCUCUUUGAUAUAUCAAAGCUAUACUAUCUUACGUCUGGUUGUGUCUUCGUUUCAUUGGUAAAGGGAUUUGAAAACUGGACAUUUAUCAGACAAAACAUGUAGGCCAAGAGGAAAAUUGAGGUAUUUCGCUUCCAAUAGUACGGAGGUCUUUGAUUUGACAUAGUUAGUUAUCUGUGUAUAACAUGAUUGUUAUAACAUACCGUAAAUACGAAUUCUGAAUAAUCAAAUAGGGCGUGAUGUAGUAUGAUAAUAGUCAAAAUCUUGUACCUGGCAUCAACAAUCAUAUAUGUUUCACGUGUGUUAAUUACCUGCUGCUUCCGAUGAUAAAUUUCGAAGACAUAUAACUUUCAUUAUGUUAGAAAAAAUAUAUUGUACAGUAUAUUACAAAUAUGAAACAACAAUAGCACAUACUAUAUACAUAUUACAGUCAGCGACCUGUGACAUAUGUGUACAGAUUCAUUUUUCCUGAUACAUUUAGAUGGACAAAACCUUUCAAACUAUUGAAAAUACAGUUUUUAAUUUAUAAUGAUUAUAAUUCCGUUGUUGCUAGUACUACAAAAAAUGAUAUAUAUGUUAUAUGUUUAAUUGUCGACGAUAAUGCCAACAGGUUGCUUAUAUGUGACCAGCCACGAGAUUUUCAGGCUUAUGGAGGUACCAGGGUCAAAAUGAGUUUUUUUGCAUUUUUGUAAAGUAUACAUAGAUUCAAAACACCCUGACAAGUUAUUUUGCUAGAUUCUUCAAAAUAACAGAAUAAUAGUAAUUUUAGAUAAUUAAGAUUUUAUUAAACAUUUUCAUUUCCUUCAAUUUUUCACAUGUAUUUUCAUCUAUUAUAGUUAUCUUUGAAACGUCUCAUAUUGUUUGUUUUGUUGUUUUUGUUUUUUUUUUGACAAAACAACUUAAGAAUUUUUAUUUCUAUAUCAACCAUUCGGUUGCCAUAUCAACAAUGUACCGGAAUCUGCAAUCUAAAUAAUGAUGACUUAAUAAUAAGGACUUAAACAUCUUUCUUUCUUGAUGAAAACUAUAGCAAUGCUAAGAAAGUGAAUACCAAUUUAUUUUCCCUUAUGAUGUGAAAAAGGAUAUUUACUCCAAAAGCUUGGUGUUCAUGUUGCGAUCUGUAUUAGUAAUAAAAUAGAAAAAAAUAUAAACACUGCACUUUGAAAUACCUACAAUGAUCUAAAGUUUAUUUUCAGGCCCCUUUGAGAAUUAAUUUUAAUUCAGAUCAAUGCAAUGAAAUCUUAAAGAUAGAUUGUGUGAAUUUAGAACGCGAUUCUAAACGGGAAUUUUACCUAAAUUACCAACUUUACGAAAAAAUCUACUUGUCUUGUAUAUUUUAAUAUAAGAUUCAAAUUUCCUCAAGUCAAGAAAAAAUGAAACUUUAUUUUACCGCAUGAUAUAAUUGAACAAUCAAUAUCAGAUGCCCCGAUUACGUUACGUGACUUUACAUUGACGUUUUCUCAUUAUGACGUUUACCGCCAUAAGCCUGGAAAUGUCAUGGCGGGUCACAUAUGUACUCGAAUAUGUUCUUUAUCAAGGUCAUAUUAUUCAUUAGAUGAUCUUUUUUUAAAAGUAAGAAAUAAUUUGUAAAAUAGACAAACUGACAGAAUUAAUAAAAAAAGCACAGUAUUUCAUCAUCAA